UACGGAGGGGGGCGAGCGUUAUUCGGAAUUACUGGGCGUAAAGCGUGCGCAGGCGGUCUGUUAAGACCGAUGUGAAAUCCCCGGGCUUAACCUGGGAACUGCAUUGGUGACUGGCAGGCUUUGAGUGUGGCAGAGGGAGGUAGAAUUCCACGUGUAGCAGUGAAAUGCGUAGAGAUGUGGAGGAAUACCGAUGGCGAAGGCAGCCUCCUGGGCCAAUAUUGACGCUGAGGAGCGAAAGCCAGGGGAGCAAACGGG
rnacentral:rRNA from 1 species